GUAGCAUUCCUCGCGGACAUCGGCGGCACGAGGCGCGAGCACCUACGUGACAUCGAAAGUCGUUCGGAAGUAGCAUCGAAGCUGUAUCGGGCAGAUAGGAGUCGAUGACUCCGUGCCCCCCACACGUUUUCCGCAUCCCGGAGUCCGAAUGAAAUCCGUGAGCCACGACGACAACGCCAAGCGUGUGUGCCGGGGAGCACAAAAUUCACUUCGAGUUCCGCCCGAGACCGCACCGUAUGGACGGGCAGCCUAAGGCGGACGGGAAGAUGUAUAAAGCCGAAUUCCAUCCGAGUAGGUACGCAACACAGGAAACCAGUUGAACGGCCAACAUAACUUGUGCCCAAGACUGAAGAGGAAUGCACGGUUAGACGUCGCCGCUCGUAGCGGGGAUCCAA
rnacentral:misc_RNA from 1 species